AUUACAAUAUGGAAUACAAAUUACAUUUGUUUUGAUUACAAAGAAAAGAGAAAAAUAAUUUGUGUUUCUUCAAGUCUUCAUCUUCAAGUCAUUCGUCCUCGCCUUGGUAUUUUCAUCGUUCGAUAUCGCUUUGAAUCGUCCAAUAAUUGUGCUCAUGAAACAAGAAAAAGAAAAAGGGUUAGCAAUCAAAACAUGAAAAAAUUUAAAAAAGAGUUAAUUGAUUGUUAUGUCAUCAUAAGGGUUUUCCUUUUGGAAUCAGUUAAAGAGGGAGAUGUUUUUUUUUAUCAUGUCUUAGUUUUCUCCCAAAUUGCAAAUCACAAAGAGUUUUUCUCUUUGGUUCACAAAAAGGGAGAAAAGAAGAAAAGAAAAAUUGCAAAAACAUGCAGCAAGCAAGCAACAACAUAA